rnacentral:rRNA from 1 species
GAUGAACGCUGGCGGCGUGCCUAACACAUGCAAGUCGAGCGGCAGCGAGGGGUGCUUGCACCCUGUCGGCGAGCGGCGGACGGCUGAGUAACGCGUGGGAACGUGCCCCAAAGUGAGGAAUAACUGCCCGAAAGGGUAGCUAAUACCGCAUAUUAUCUUCGGAUCAAAGGAUUUAUCCGCUUUGGGAGCGGCUCGCGUCGGAUUAGGUAGUUGGUGAGGUAAUGGCUCACCAAGCCGACGAUCCAUAGCUGGUCUGAGAGGAUGACCAGCCAGACUGGAACUGAGACACGGUCCAGACUCCUACGGGAGGCAGCAGUGAGGAAUCUUCCACAAUGGGCGAAAGCCUGAUGGAGCAACGCCGCGUGCAGGACGAAGGCCUUCGGGUUGUAAACUGCUUUUAUAAGUGAGGAAUAUGACGGUAACUUAUGAAUAAGGAUCGGCUAACUGCGUG